rnacentral:sRNA from 12 species
UCAAUAAAUCUGAACAUUUUCGGUGGAAUACCACAGAAAACGAAUCGACUAAUCUUCUGUAAUGCUAUUAUGAGGAUUGCCCUUUGAGGUUUAUAGCGAUAGGUCGCCCUAUGGUCGGUUACAUGCUUUUGUUGA